rnacentral:rRNA from 1 species
GGCCUAACACAUGCAAGUCGAACGCUCGUAGCAAUACGGGAGUGGCAGACGGGUGAGUAACACGUGGGAACGUACCCCGAGGUACGGAACAACUCCGGGAAACUGGAGCUAAUACCGUAUGAGCCCGAGAGGGGAAAGAUUUAUCGCCUUGGGAUCGGCCCGCGUCUGAUUAGCUAGUUGGUGGGGUAAUGGCCCACCAAGGCGACGAUCAGUAGCUGGUCUGAGAGGAUGAUCAGCCACACUGGGACUGAGACACGGCCCAGACUCCUACGGGAGGCAGCAGUGGGGAAUAUUGGACAAUGGGCGCAAGCCUGAUCCAGCCAUGCCGCGUGAGUGAUGAAGGCCUUAGGGUUGUAAAGCUCUUUCGGCGGGGACGAUAAUGACGGUACCCGCAGAAGAAGCCCCGGCUAACUUCGUGCCAGCAGCCGCGGUAAUACGAAGGGGGCUAGC